rnacentral:rRNA from 1 species
UAACUCUUAGCGGUGGAUCACUUGGCUCGUGGAUCGAUGAAGAACGCAGCUAGCUGCGAUAAAUAGUGCGAAUUGCAGACGCAUUGAGCACAAAGAUUUCGAACGCACAUUGCACCAUCGGGUUGAUUCCCGAUGGUACGUCUGGUUGAGGGUCAAU